ACGGGCGUAGUUUAAUCUGGUAAGAAUUAUGGUCUCAUAAGUCAUGGAUUGUGGUUCAAAUCCACACACCCAUACCA
rnacentral:tRNA from 1 species